rnacentral:rRNA from 1 species
AUGUUAACAUAUCUUGAAACAUUUUUAGGAGAAUCUGUAAAAGUUCUUUGGGAACAAUGGGUGGAAUCAUACCCUAGUCAAUAUGAAGAAUUAAAAAGGGCAGGAAGUAACCCUAAUAACUUUGCGAAUGUUAUCUCAAAUAUGAUCAUAGCAGAAGAUCCAGAAUUAGGACAUACCUCACUGCAAAAUGAAAGGUUAAGAGAAAUAGAAAAGUUAACAUUAACUAGCUGGAAAGGUAUUAAAGAAUUUUCCCAGCAUUAUUUGUAUAAUGCUACUACUGCUAAACAAGGUUUUAAUGUAGGCGUAGUAGAAAGAUAUUUUAAUAAGUUGCCUGAUCCCCUAGGGUCAAUAAUAUUUGAAGAAUAUAAAAAGGAAACGGCGGGAAACGUGGUAAACAUAUCUCAAGCUGUAACAUUUGUUUUCAGACAAUUAAGAAAGGUGUGUACUAGUAUUCAAGCCGAAAGAUCUAUGAAGAAAUCAGAUUACAAUUUUUGCAAUAACAUAGUCCAAAUACCACUUACAUAUGGAGAAGAAAAAUAUAUUGUUCGAUUACCAUUCAAAGAAGUGUUAGGAAUAAGGAUCCCAGUUAAGAUUGUUCUGAAGCCAAAUAUUUCAUAUAAAAUACUGGCACUAUUAGAUACUGGUUGCACUAAGAAUAUCAUCCAUGAUAAAUAUUUUAUGAGAUGUCCCGAAAUAGUUGAAACUAUAGAUGAUAAUAAAGCUGAAGUAUCUACCGAUAUGUCAGGAAUAAAGAAGAUCCAUAAUCAGCUAGCAUAUAAUAUUGAAGCUUACAUAAAUGGCACAAAAUAUAUAAUAGGUGAAAUUACAAUAAGAGAUUUGUCAGUAAUAAAUGAUGACAUGAUAAUAGGGUUAAGAUUUUUACAACAAUCUUUACAAACUACAAUCAUACAUGAAGAGGGUGUAACAUUUAUCCCUUAUAAAGAUAAUGUUCCAUACAUAUCUGAAGUGCGAAAGCAAUGGAAGUCCUCGCAAAAUGUAGAAAUAUCUAAUUUAGAUGAUGAAUAUAGCACAAGUCCAGAUCCCCUUGAAUUCUGUAAAGACGAAGAACUUAGUGAGACCAUAGAAGAAUAUCAUAUAGAAAAUACAUGUACAAAAUGCAUUGGGUUGCAAUCAUUCUCUCCAAAUUGGUAUAGAGAUAUAAAAUCUAAAAAGGAUAUAGAUAAGAUUGUGCAAAGACUAGAAAGUAUACAAAUUAUUGGAGAAAUACCAAUGAAACAUUGGGAUAAGAACUCUAUAGUUUGCAAAAUAAAUAUCAUAAAUCCAGAUUAUAUAAUUAAGUCAGGACCAAUAGAAGCAACUCCUAAAGAUAUCGAAGAGUUCAAAAUGCAUAUUGAAGAGUUAUUAAAGUUAAAAGCUAUAAGAGAAAGCAGAAGCCCUCAUCGAUCUGCUGCUUUUAUAGUUAGAAAUCAUGCUGAAGAAGUUAGAGGUAAAUCUAGAAUGGUAAUUAACUUUAAAAGGCUUAAUGAUAAUACAGUUGAUGAUGCAUACAACAUACCUAAUAAGCAGGAAUGGAUUAAUAGAAUACAAGGAAGUAAAUAUUUCUCCAAAUUCGAUUUAAAGGAAGGAUUUUGGCAAGUAAAAAUGGCUAAAGAAUCUAUUCCGUGGACAGCAUUUACUUGUCCACAAGGCCAUUAUGAAUGGCUAGUAAUGCCAUUAGGCCUAAAGAAUGCACCUGCACUAUUUCAAAGAAUGAUGCAAAAUAUAUUUAAUGAGAAUCAAGCAUGUAUAUUAGUAUACGUAGAUGAUUUGUUAGUAUUCUCAAAAUCAUACAAAGAGCAUAUAGCCCAUCUUGAAGUGUUCUUUCAAAAGGUAGAACAAAAUGGGCUCAUACUAUCUAAAAAGAAGAUGGAAAUUUGCAAAGAGAAAAUAAAUUUCCUUGGUCAUGAAAUAGGAGAAGGAAAAAUAUAUCUACAAGAACAUAUUGCAAAGAAAAUAUUAGAGUUUCCUGAUAAUAUGAGUGAUAAAAAGGUUUUACAACAGUUCUGA